AUUGAACGCUGGCGGCAUGCCUUACACAUGCAAGUCGAACGGCAGCACGGGAGCAAUCCUGGUGGCGAGUGGCGAACGGGUGAGUAAUACAUCGGAACGUGCCCGAAGUCGUGGGGGAUAACGCAGCGAAAGCUGUGCUAAUACCGCAUAAGAUCUACGGAUGAAAGCAGGGGACCGCAAGGCCUUGCGCGAAUGGAGCG
rnacentral:rRNA from 1 species